CCUACGGGCGGCUGCAGGGGGGAAUAUUGGACAAUGGGGGCAACCCUGAUCCAGCCAUGCCGCGUGUGUGAAGAAGGCCCUCGGGUUGUAAAGCACUUUCAGUGAGGAAGAACGCCUGGUGGUUAAUACCCAUCAGGAAAGACAUCACUCACAGAAGAAGCACCGGCUAACUCCGUGCCAGCAGCCGCGGUAAUACGGAGGGUGCGAGCGUUAAUCGGAAUUACUGGGCGUAAAGCGCGCGUAGGUGGCUUGAUAAGCCGGUUGUGAAAGCCCCGGGCUCAACCUGGGAACGGCAUCCGGAACUGUCAAGCUAGAGUGCAGGAGAGGAAGGUAGAAUUCCCGGUGUAGCGGUCAAAUGCGUAGAGAUCGGGAGGAAUACCAGUGGCGAAGGCGGCCUUCUGGACUGACACUGACACUGAGGUGCGAAAGCGUGGGUAGCAAACAGGAUUAGAUACCCCUGUAGUC
rnacentral:rRNA from 1 species